UACAUACUCCCUCCGUCCGAAAAUAUUUGUCAUCAAAAUGAAUAAAAAGAGAUGUAUCUAGAACUAAAAUACAUCUAGAUACAUCCCCUUUUAUCCAUUUUGAUGACAAGUAUUUCCGGACGGAGGGAGUACUAU
rnacentral:pre_miRNA from 1 species